rnacentral:rRNA from 1 species
UACGUAGGGGGCAAGCGUUGUCCGGAAUCAUUGGGCGUAAAGAGCGUGUAGGCGGUUCGGUAAGUCGGCUGUGAAAGUCCAGGGCUCAACCCUGGGAUGCCGGUCGAUACUGCCGGACUAGAGUUCGGAAGAGGCGAGUGGAAUUCCCGGUGUAGCGGUGAAAUGCGCAGAUAUCGGGAGGAACACCUAUGGCGAAGGCAGCUCGCUGGGACGUUACUGACGCUGAGACGCGAAAGCGUGGGGAACAAACAGG